CUUAACUGCUUGGGACUGAUAGUCUAGAGUGAGGGAGAGGCAGAUGGAAUUGGUGGUGUAGGGGUAAAAUCCGUAGAUAUCACCAAGAAUACCCAUUGCGAAGGCGAUCUGCUGGAACUCAACUGACGCUAAGGCGCGAAAGCGUGGGGAGCAAACAGGAUUAGAUACCCUGGUAGUCCACGCCCUAAACGAUGUACACUAGUUGUUGGGGUGCUAGUCAUCUCAGUAAUGCAGCUAACGCAUUAAGUGUACCGCCUGGGGAGUACGGUCGCAAGAUUAAAACUCAAAGGAAUAGACGGGGACCCGCACAAGCGGUGGAGCAUGUGGUUUAAUUCGAAGAUACGCGAAGAACCUUACCUGGGCUUGAUAUCCUAAGAACCUUUUAGAGAUAAGAGGGUGCUAGCUUGCUAGAACUUAGAGACAGGUGCUGCACGGCUGUCGUCAGCUCGUGUCGUGAGAUGUUGGGUUAAGUCCCGCAACGAGCGCAACCCACGUAUUUAGUUGCUAACGGUUCGGCCGAGCACUCUAAAUAGACUGCCUUCGUAAGGAGGAGGAAGGUGUGGACGACGUCAAGUCAUCAUGGCCCUUAUGCCCAGGGCGACACACGUGCUACAAUGGCAUAUACAAUGAGACGCAAUACCGCGAGGUGGAGCAAAUCUAUAAAAUAUGUCCCAGUUCGGAUUGUUCUCUGCAACUCGAGAGCAUGAAGCCGGAAUCGCUAGUAAUCGUAGAUCAGCCAUGCUACGGUGAAUACGUUCCCGGGUCUUGUACUCACCGCCCGUCACACCAUGGGAGUUGAUUUCACUCGAAGCCGGAAUACUAAACUAGUUU
rnacentral:rRNA from 1 species